AGAGGAAUAGCUGGGUCAAAUGGUGGUUCCAUUCCCAGAUUUCCAAGGAAUCUCCAUAGUGCUUUCCAAAUUGGCUGCACCAAUUUGCAGUCCCACCAGCAAU
rnacentral:pre_miRNA from 1 species